rnacentral:misc_RNA from 1 species
GAUGAAGAACGUAGCGAAAUGCGAUAAGUAAUGUGAAUUGCAGAAUUCAGUGAAUCAUCGAAUCUUUGAACGCACAUUGCACUCAUUAGUAUUCUAGUGAGUAUGCCUGUUCGAGCGUCAUUUCGACCCUUAAGCCUAGCUUAGUGUUGGGACUCUACCCUAACCGGUAGUUCCCCAAAAUCAGUUGGCGGAGUUCAGUCGGCUCUGAGUGUAGUAAUUUCUCUCGCUUUAGAAGUCUUCUGGAUUACGGCCAGAAAGAGACGAGUCCUCGCAUCUCCGUGUGGUUCUCAACUUUUUUGUACAAUGGUUGACCUCGGAUCAGGUAGGAAUACCCGCUGAACUUAAGCAUAUCAAUAAGCGGAGGA